ACUGACCCUAUGGUGUUGCAGAUGUGGCUGCUGUAUCAUAUUUGUGUCAUUUGGUCACAGAGAGAAGAAAGGUUAUGUCUAUGUUCCGUGUUCUGAUCCGUGAACAUUUGAAUAAUGAAUACCCUGACACU